rnacentral:rRNA from 1 species
GACGAACGCUGGCGGCGUGCUUAACGCAUGCAAGUCGAACGGUGAAGCGCUUUCCUCUUUAGUUGGUGUGGAUGAGUGGCGAACGGGUGAGUAACACGUGAGUAACCUGCCCCCUUCUUAUGGAUAACCGCAUGAAAGUGUGGCUAAUACGGGUUAUUCUGCGCCUGCUGCAUGGUGGAUGUGGGAAAGAUUGUGCCUUUGGGUGUUUUCGGUGGGGGAUGGGCUCGCGGCCUAUCAGCUUGUUGGUGGAGUGAUGGGUUGCAAAGGCGGUGACGGGUAGCGGGCCUGAGAGGGAGCCGAGCCACGCGGGGACUGGGACACAGUCGAAACUACUACGGGAGGCAGCAGCGGGGAAUAGUAGACGAGGGGCGCAAGCCUGAUGCAGCGACGCUGUGUGAGAGAUGGAGGCCUUCGAGUUGUGAGCCUCUUUGGCCAGUGACUCAGGCCUGCACCGUGGGGGUGGGUGGACGUUAGCUGGAAAAGAAGCGCCGGCUAACUACGU